rnacentral:rRNA from 1 species
GACGAACGCUGGCGGCGUGCCUAAUACAUGCAAGUCGAGCGCAGGAAACCGUCUGAACCCUUCGGGGGGACGACGGCGGAAUGAGCGGCGGACGGGUGAGUAACACGUAAAGAACCUGCCCACGGGUCUGGGAUAACCACGAGAAAUCGGGGCUAAUACCGGACGGGUCAUCGGACCGCAUGGUCCGAGGAUGAAAGGCGCUCCGGCGUCGCCCGUGGAUGGCUUUGCGGUGCAUUAGCUAGUUGGUGGGGUAACGGCCCACCAAGGCGACGAUGCCAAGCCGACCUGAGAGGGUGACCGGCCACACUGGGACUGAGACACGGCCCAGACUCCUACGGGAGGCAGUAGUAGGGAAUCUUCCACAAUGGACGAAAGUCUGAUGGAGCAACGCCGCGUGAACGAUGAAGGCCCUCGGGUCGUAAAGUUCUGUUGUAAGGGAAGAACAAGUGCCGCAGGCAAUGGCGGCACCUUGACGGUACCUUGCGAGAAAGCCACGGCUAACUACGUGCCAGCCGCCGCGGUAA